UACGUAGGGGGGCAACGUUGUCCGGAAUCAUUGGGCGUAAAAGCGCGUGUAGGCGGCCCGAUAAGUCCGCUGUGAAAGUCCAGGGCUCAACCCUGGAAUGCCGGUGGAUACUGUCGGGCUCGAGUCCGGAAGAGGCGAGUGGAAUUCCUGGUGUAGCGGUGAAAUGCGCAGAUAUCAGGAGGAACACCAAUGGCGAAGGCAGCUCGCUGGGACGGUACUGACGCUGAGGCGCGAAAGCUAGGGGAGCGAACAGG
rnacentral:rRNA from 1 species